AUGGUGAGAAACAUAGCAUACAAGAGGACAAAGACAACAGAGAUGGUGAGAAACACAGCAUACAAGAGAACAAAGACAACAGAGAUGGUGAGAAACACAGCAUACAAGAGGACAAAGACAACAGAGAUGGUGAGAAACACAGCAUACAAGAGGACAAAGACAACAGAGAUGGUGAGAAACACAGCAUACAAGAGGACAAAGACAACAGAGAUGGUGAGAAACACAGCAUACAAGAGAACAAAGACAACAGAGAUGGUGAGAAACACAGCAUACAAGAGAACAAAGACAACAGAGAUGGUGAGAAACAUAGCAUACAAGAGGACAAAGACAACAGAGAUGGUGAGAAACACAGCAUACAAGAGGACAAAGACAACAGAGAUGGUGAGAAACACAGCAUACAAGAGGACAAAGACAACAGAGAUGGUGAGAAACACAGCAUACAAGAGAACAAAGACAACAGAGAUGGUGAGAAACAUAGCAUACAAGAGAACAAAGACAACAGAGAUGGUGAGAAACAUAGCAUACAAGAGGACAAAGACAACAGAGAUGGUGAGAAACACAGCAUACAAGAGAACAAAGACAACAGAGAUGGUGAGAAACAUAGCAUACAAGAGAACAAAGACAACAGAGAUGGUGAGAAACACAGCAUACAAGAGAACAAAGACAACAGAGAUGGUGAGAAACACAGCAUACAAGAGGACAAAGACAACAGAGAUGGUGAGAAACACAGCAUACAAGAGGACAAAGACAACAGAGAUGGUGAGAAACACAGCAUACAAGAGAACAAAGACAACAGAGAUGGUGAGAAACAUAGCAUACAAGAGAACAAAGACAACAGAGAUGGUGAGAAACACAGCAUACAAGAGGACAAAGACAACAGAGAUGGUGAGAAACACAGCAUACAAGAGGACAAAGACAACAGAGAUGGUGAGAAACACAGCAUACAAGAGAACAAAGACAACAGAGAUGGUGAGAAACAUAGCAUACAAGAGAACAAAGACAACAGAGAUGGUGAGAAACACAGCAUACAAGAGGAAAAAGACAACAGAGAUGGUGAGAAACACAGCAUACAAGAGAACAAAGACAACAGAGAUGGUGAGAAACACAGCAUACAAGAGGACAAAGACAACAGAGAUGGUGAGAAACACUUCAUACAAGAGACUGAGGACAAAGACAACAGAGAUGGUGAGAAACACAGCAUACAAGAGGACAAAGACAACAGAGAUGGUUAGAAACACAGCAUACAAGAGACUGAGGACAAAGACAACAGAGAUGGUGAGAAACACAGCAUACAAGAGACUGAGGACAAAGACAACAGAGAUGGUGAGAAACACAGCAUACAAGAGACUGAGGACAAAGACAAGAGUGAAGAUACAUACCUUUGAUCCUGAUACCACUUAG
rnacentral:lncRNA from 1 species